AGAAAAAUAGAGAAUACAAUUAAGCUAGUACUGGGCAAUCAUUAGAAAUGAUUUUCUUUUCAAGGACCAGUUAAAUUGCCCCAGCAAGUCAAUAAACUACAUAUGCUAAAUGUGCCUUAAGCCACGGAUGCAUCUCUGCAUCAGAAAACCCUUUUUUCAAUAAAAUCAUGUCCUACAAAUUGCAACAUGCGAUAUGCUUAAUGCCAAGCCACAUUAUUCAGUACCAGGGUUGAAAUACAAGGUACACUAUUGAACAAUCACACAGCUAAUUGCCCAUUCUUUAAGAGUUGUAUAAAUCUGAUUGCAUUACCAAAUGGAUUAAUGCCUAUAUAUUCAGGUGGGGUGGGAGAGAAACCAGGUCAUAAUGCAGCAGCAAAGAAGGAAAGAAUCCAGGAAUGUUCGUUUUGCAAGACUACAAAGAGGAAGAUAUUCAAGCAAAUCAGCUAAAAUCAAAUGUAUCAUAAAAUCCUUCUAGUAGUGCUAUCUCAUAACAAGCAUGCAGAAACUGCAUUAUUAUUUAACAAUAGCUGGAUACAAGAAAAUCAGACAGUAAAAUGGAACAAGAAGAACUAAAUUUCUCGCAAGACCAUUAUACAGAUCCAAUAAUCCACAACCUCAAGACCUUGUGAAUUAAAUAAAUGCUGCAAGGCUUAUUACGCUUUAUGUUGCAUACCAUUUCUUCAAAUGUUUGGACCGAAUAUACAAACAAGGUCUACAAAAAUUGGUAUAUCAAGUUUGUGCAUAACAUACCAUCUGCAAUGAGAAGUUAAAAACACACAUCUUCAAGAUGAUUGCUUCAAUUUUACAAACCAUCAGUCAUUUAUGGACUAUUUGUUAAGAAAAUAUGUCAGCAAAAAUAUGCAAAAAUAAACCCUGCGCACAACCCCAAAAUAAACAAGACUUCAAAACAUGCAAAAAUAAUUUUAAACUACCAGCUAUACAUGCAAUUUUUGUCCUAUAGUUAAUUCAAAUCGAGACUGACUUUCAUAGACAUAUAGAGAGAAUAUAAAGAGUCACUUCUUUAGAAUUUGCCUUGCUAAUGUCACUAUGAUCGAUACUGAACAUGAACAUGCCAGAAGAAAAGCUCUUAAAGUUAUUUCGUGUUGAUCAGUAGGACAGGUGUUCAGUAAUCAAUCAAUAAAGAUUCCUCUGGAACCAAUUCACUGCUAAUGAUUUUUAAGCAACAAAAAGCAAACCAUGUAAAGACACAGAAUGGAACUAUACACAAACAAGAGGAUAAGCACUUUCCGGAAAUAAGCAAAGUUUGCAGGGAUAGUGAUGAGUAGGCAAGGCAGCAAUUCUGCCACAUCUGAGCUGAAUCUAACAAUCACACAGUCUAAAUAAUUAAAGAACGCACAGGAACAGUGAAGAAGAGAUAAAUCUUACACUGCAUGUGAUGCUAAAUCUGACAAAUAAUAUGAUCUGGUAGGUUUCCUGAGAGGGAGUAAUAUGAGAUUUGUGGCAUUUGAUGAUGAAUCUAAUUAUCAUGAACCGGGCAGCGUCUUUGACAAGAACUUUCUAAUUAAAGAACUCGUGCAUAAGAAUAGAAAGUCUUUUCCAAUUGCUCUUUUGCAAGCUAGCAAAAUCUUAUUUGCAUUUAAUAGCAUUGAACUGUUACAAAAUUAAAGCAGUUAUGCCACACAGCUUCCUCGAAGUGGUACAUGCAGAGUAUUCUCAUGUGCAGAUCCAAAUGUAUUAUAGAAGGACAUUGAUGUAUAGAUAUGUUAGACCAAAGAAGGAAACAAACAGGAUGAAAGCUCUCAUCUUACAGAUUAAAGCAUAAAGAAAUGUAUGCAAAGGGCUUGAAAGCAAUCUCCCUAAUACAAGGACUAGAACCUUCCCUUCAAUAAAAACAUCAUGGGAAAAUAUUUGAAAGCUAUGGACAUCCUGGGCCACAAUUCCACCAUGAAAAUGAAUUUUGACUUUUGUUUAAGAUAUCAGCUGCAAAAUUCCUUUUACAAAGACCAUCCUUUUUCUCCGCACUCCCCACAACAUAGACAACGAAAGGCUACCCAAGCAACAUUCCCCCAUUUAGUAGGACAGGAGCCUGCACUUUUUUUAUUGUUUUUCUUUUGGAUGGAGACUAGGACACAAGGAAGCCCAAGCCCAGUUGGAAAUCGGGAUGAGAUUGGGUCCAACCCAUAUCACUAGGAUCCAACGCCCAGUGCAUUUACCAACUCAACCAGUUGGCUCCCUUGGGGCCCAUAUAAUUGAAAGAAGAAUCAUUAAUACUCUAGCUGAAUCCAAGCAUCCUAUCCAAAUUCAUUUCAUGGCUACCUUUGACUCAUUCCACAAGGAUACAACUUUCUAAGUCUCUUAACAAAAAUGAUUAAUGUCUAAGUCUCUUAACAAAAAUGAUCAAUGUCAGUUAUGUAUCUACACUCUUUUCUCUAUGAUACUCCAAGUUCCACAGCUUCCUAAGUAGAUAUUCAUAUUCUUCUGAGACCCAAUGGCAGACCCUUUCUUGCAGGCAGUUCAGGCUGCCAUGAGUAUUAGAUCCACUGAGUUUGCAUUGAAUGUGUGCAAGCACAUUUAUCUUCUACUUCUUCAGGACUAGGAAUAAAAAAAUCUCAUGUCCAAGGUUUUUACUAUAAAUGAAUAUGCUUUCAAACCUUGCAAAAAAUGACUUGUUUAUUGAAGAAAUAUUUUAUGAAAAUAUUUAAAUAUUUAAUGAUUUCAAUCAAACACAGCCCUUUGCCUAGCUAUUAACUCUUUCUUUCCCAUAAAAUUAUUGCUAUUGAUGGAAUGAUAUUGCUUUGUCUACACAAAUUCCUAAGACAGCAGAAGCAUAGAGAUAUGCAAUCAAACGACUAGGCUGAUUCAAGGGUCUGUGCAACUGUCUUCACUGUGUUUUAACUUAUAUACAACCUCAAGCCUCUUUGGGCUUGAGAAAAAGGCAAGACAUCUCAAAUAUCUUCAUUCAGUCCACAGAUCAUUACAUCGUAAACCAUCCAUAAAUAAUAGAUGCAGAAUACCUGAAAUACUGUUGUAUUUGUGCUCUCUUAUACAUAUUAAGCCACGUUCCAAUUAGAGAGGGAAACUGUUCCCAUCAAAAUAACCAACACCAUAUGGCCUUGUCCCAAUUAUCUGAAAUUGGCAUCUUAAGAAUCCUUGUUUUACAUGAACUAGGGCUUGCCCCAGAUGUCAUACCUCUCAGCUUAGCAACGAGAGGUUUGGGGCUUCGGUGCAUCCUAGACAAGGAUUAUUCAGUGUGGGUGGGUCCUCCUCCCUCUCUCACAAACAAGGAUUCCUUAUUUUACUAACUAUUUACAUUAAUACAGUUUCUAGUGUUACUACAAGAUUAUUCAUAUCUUUUCCCACAACUUUUUCUUCUAGUUUUCGUCUUUCCUUCCUCUUUCUAGACCUCAAUGCAGACUUAAACAAAUCUCCUUAGUAGGGCCUCAAAUUUUACAGGCACAUGCCUAUAUGAUCUCAUCUACUUCUCCAUAACUUUGUCCUCUAUUAGCGCAACUCCUACAUUUAUACCUAUAUCCAUCUCAACAUUCUCAUUUUUGAUAGUUCAUGUAUACUUAGAUUCUUUUCAUUACUCAAAAUUCUAAACUAUACAAGACUGCAAGUGUUAUUUCCAUCUAAUAAAAAUCUGGUCACCAUGAACAUGAAGUGUAUCUUUGGCCUAAAACCCUACAAAUACAUAUCAAUUUCAUCCUUUGAACUCUAAAUCUAUCAGGUAUGACAUCGCAUAUCUCCAAAAUUGCUGUAUAAUAGAUUCAAUAUAGUGAAAAAUAAUCACUCAGUAAUAUUUAGCAACUUAAGUAGGGGUCCCAUUUUUCUUCCUGUUUCCACUGAAAUUUCACUUGGCAUACCUAGUUUCCAUUAAAAUCUAGGUGCUCUCAAUUCUCUGAAAUAUUUAAGUACACAAACAUGAGUAAGAAUGAUUAAUAUCAAGGAAAACAAGCUUCAACCAUAAUGAGCUAAUAUCUUUAGUAGAAUAUCUCAAAAUGAGCAGAUGAGUGAUCGCAUUCCCUAAGAGAAGGCCGGAUGAUAGGGAUUGAUCUGGAACUUUGAAAUGUGAAAUAUGAAGGAUCAUUAAAUGUAUAGGAUUACUUGACUUUAUAAAGCCAAUCAGUAGCCAAAAAGGAAACCUUUUGUAUAGGUGGUUGUGAAGCUCCAUUAGUGUAAUAUUUUAAUCAUGAAUUGCAUGCAUAGUAGGUUAGUUCAUUUAUGUCACAUCUAAAAUAGAAAUGACAUAUUCCACACUUCACAUCACAUAAACCCCUCCCAAGAAGAUUGUCCUGUAAGGCUGUAACUAAGAAAAUCUUUUUUGUGAGGCCCUAGGUUUAAAAUUAGGGAACAAGAAUAAUUAGCAAUAUCAAGAUCAGUGGACCGAGCGCUAGCAAUGAAGCAGCAAGUAAAGCUCUCUGGUAUGGUCUUUCUUAAGAUCUUAAUGAUCAGGAAACGAUCACCAUAUUGGCAGAUAACUACUUCCAGACCUCUCUCUCGAACAGUUUGAUUGGACCAUCAAAUGCUCGCUAGAUUGGUUCAGGAUUCAACUCUGCUGCAUUACUGAAAGACCAUUUAUCAUCAUUGUCAUGUAGCAAUGACGAUUUAGAACAUUUGGUUGCAAAAUUCAGAUGUUAUUAAAGUUCAGUGCAAGCAUCUAUAACAAUUAUCAAUAUCAACUUCAAUUUCUUUUUCAUGAGCACAAUGUAAUGUCUAAAGAAAAUUUAAGCGGACAUAUGUAACAAUGCAAGAAGAUAGCAUCCAAGAGAUAGGAUACUCCAUGAGUAUUGUUAGGAUGGAAAACUAGAGAAACAACAAAGUAGGGAACAGGAAGCUUACAUGGGAUAAAGCUUGUUGUUUACAUGAAAUGCAUAAACUAAUUAUUAGCUGCCAUUGUUUUAAUUAUAUGUUUCAUAUGCUCUAAGAAGACAUUAGGCUAUGUAUAUAAAAUAUUUAUUGAUUAACAAAUAUUCCCAGAGAGAUGCAAAACAUAUUUAUAAGGUUUCCUUCAUGGCAUCUUAAAACUCAUAAACAUUUUUGCUAAAUCUUUAUGGGAACAAUUCUUAUACAUUUAAGAUAGAACAAACAACACAAAUUCUUCGUGUCUUCUCAAAUGUCAACCCUCUAGCAAUUAGUACCAGCAACUUUCAACAAGAGAAGGUCAUAGCAUGAAACCAAGAAGUUCCAAAUGGUCUACUGGGAGACCUAUCUUGAUCACUGUAGUUUAAGUCCAUGCAACUAGUGUGACACCUAGCCUCAUUGGGCCGGCUUGUUGGCCUGGCCCGAUGCCAAAAGACCCAUGUUGCACUCAAGCAAGGCAGACCCCUGCUCGAUCUUGGAUGGAGGAGGAAGAGUCCUCCUACUUGGACUCCGUCGGAGGCUAGAAAAUCCUAGCCUUCAUUCUAUAUUAAGGCCUCCCCUCCCCCUCACGAUCCUUCACCGUCGAGUAGUGCCCCUCGUUCUCCCGCUUUCCUCCUCUUUCGUCCUUCUAUUUUGCCGGUCCCUAACAUUGUGCUCGUUGGAAAUCAGAGUCGAAGAGCUCACCGGAGCCCAAGGUAAGCCUCGAUUCUUCUUCCUCUUUCAUUUCCUCUAGGAUAGGAUCCUUUGCCAGAUAGAUUGUCGAUAAAUUGGUCGGAAAUUGUUCGAGUCCACUUUUCUUGUUUUUUCGGCCCCUCUAUUCCUUUUUUCCAGCCACCGAUGCUGCUGACUCUUGAUGCCGAACCUUUGGUCAAUUCCCCCGACCUCCCAUUGACUCGUCCCAUCGGAGCCAUGGCCGCCGGUGAAAGGCCAACGGCCAAAAACGAGGAAGAAGCUCUGGUUUCCUUGUUUUCUCGUCAGCUGAUUACUAUCACCGAUUGUCCACCAUUGUCAGCCGCUCUUCGCUGCCCGCAACCGUCACCUACUGCCACCUUGCUGGACCACCACAAACACAGCCGCACUCUCACCCCUCUCUUCCCCUAAUUUGCCCAGAAAGAAGGGAAAAAAGCAAGAGAAGACUUGUCCUCUUCUCUCUCUCCUAUUUCUCUUUCUUGUUUCUCUUUCUUUUUCCUCUUUCUCUCUAAGCAAGACUCGGGGAUCUUAGUUUAGAGUUUUGUUUCCCUUUGCUUAGAUCCAAGUUGACCCUAGAGUGGAGGCCUUGAACCACCUCAGUAUCCGGGCGGCAUGCCGACCCAUUAUCUCGGUCCUUGCUGAGUCCCUCUGGAAUUCGUUCACCAUUAAUCUUCAUUGAGUCACUUAAAUCAUGUAUGAUUUUUUACCCAAUUGAGUUCACUUUGUUCGGACCGAUCCGGAUAGUUGGGCGCUGCCACCUGACCAACCUUGCCCUUCCUCCACCCUGAUUUGGGUAUGAAGCUACAUCCUCAAUAGUACCUUAAUUUCUAACUUUGCUUAGCUUCUAAGACAAUGAUAAAAUUAAUCAUUAUUUAAUGAUACCAAAAUAGGUGAAUUUGAUCCGUCUAACUAAGUGGGAUUUUGAAGCAACAAGAGGUAACUUAACGCUUCAAAGUAUAGCUUCUUAAUAACUUUUAAAAAAUUAUAAUUAGUUUAAUUAAUUUGAUUAUGAUCUCUAUUUAUGUUUGAUUAGACAGGUCAAGCAUGCUAUUAUUACUGUCAUAAUUAUUUUAAAAUAUGAUAGUAUUUUAAUAUUCUUAUAAGAUGAAUUUCGGAAACUAUGACUGGAUAAUUUACGAAAUUUGUUUUAUCUAUGUAUUCUCAGCAUGGCUAUAAUCUAACUCCGUUAAUGGGGAUUAUACGUUGGUUCUGUCGACUUAUAAUCUGGAGAAACUGGUUUUGACACCAAGCCAUCAGUGAUUAGAAUAGCGGUAUCUGUUAUUUGUCACUUUGUGCACCUUGUAUCUGCUAUCUGAGCUAUGCCACUGUGUUACAUGGCCAUAGCCUGAUGUUGGAUCUUUAUCAGUUUACGAAAAAUAAAUUUUGAAAAGAAAUAUGUAUUAUUCGAGAUUUGAUUUAGCCCAGUCAGUAUCAAGGUAUUUGAUUAUUUAUUUGUUUGGCAUGCUUAGAUCCCACUUUGAUGUAUUAUAUUACUUACCGGGAUGGUGUAGCUCAUUAUUCUUUUUUUUUAUUUUUCAGAUCCUGAAUCAUGAUUACUUGAAACUUGGGGGAGUGCGCUAGAUCUUUCGAAGAAUAUUUGUGAUAAUUUGAAUUUCUAGCUCAGUUUAGUUUAGAUUAGUUCACUUUAGUUUGAAUAUUUUAUUUGAUUUCAAGAAUAAUAAUUAGUUAGAAUAUUUUGACUUAUGUUACCUUGGGAUAAUUGAUUUUUAGAAUGAUUUGAUUAGAUCCUGAUUAAAGCAAUUUCCAAGGAUCGAAGAAUUAUUAUUGUUCUGAUGUUAUAAUGAUUUGAUCAGUAGCCUUGUAUGCUUGUAUAGUUUGCACUACAAGUAUGCAGUGUCUGUUAUGCCCAGGGUUCGAGGCGUGACAACCAGGAAGAAACAAUGUAAAUUUUUCAGACUUUUGGAAGAGGAAAUAUGAGAUAGUUGGAUAAAAGGAACUGUCUAUAUCUUGAACACACAAAUCAGAAGCUAAAGGGUUAAAUUGAAAUCCAUUCCCAAUUGCACCGCUUACAAAAAAAUAUUUAAUAUAAAUUGCACUUCUAUUGCAAUUAUAGCACGAUCAACAUAGCAUCAGAGAAGUGCAUCACAAGUCAUAAUGGUUUUCAAUUAUAAUUCUGGAAAUUGCGGUUUUAUGGUUUGUCAUUUAGAAUUUCCAUUAGAUAAGUUAAUAUAAGCCCUAAUGAGGCACCUUUAUCAUCUUUAUCUAUUAGCAUCGAGCAAGUGGAAAGGGAUGGUGCUAGCGGUAGUACUCCAUUUUGUUGGGAUUUCGACACUAAGACAAGAGUUGGGUUGCUGAAACCAGCCCCAAAUGGGGCGCCCCAUCCAGGAUAGGUUGGUACCUGCCAGUACAGAUCUCAAUUUGACCAGGAUGAAAUGAUUGGUACUGACUUAUACAAUGUUAGUAUUUUCUGUACGAGGUUGUCCUAUUCCUUUAAGGGGGGGCGCAAUUGGGUUUAGAGAUGCCUUUAAGCAUCUCGUGAGGCCCUUCCGACACCAUAAAGUGAGAGAGAGUAAGAGAGGAGGGGAGAGAGAGAGAAGGGGAGGAAAAAGGGGAAAAGGAAAGGGUCUUUUUCCCUCACACUAGGAAGGGAGAGUUAGCACUGCAGCAGGGGAGUGCACUCCAUUUGGGUGAGGCCUUCCAAUCUCCUUUUUUUUGGCUGAAAUUGGCAAAAAUAAGAAAAGAUGAAAACCCAUACCGAAUUUUUCUUAUUCAAAAUUUUGGAUAUAUCUAGGGUGGUGACUUUUACUUUUUCAACCAAUAUCUUAAUUUUUAGGAAAUAUAUAUUUGUAUCAAAAUGUUAACAAAAGAUAGAUCAUAUGGGAAUUUUGUCUGAAAAUGUAGCAUGCUAGUAUUCAUAGUGCGCACAUGUAACAAUUUUCAUGACUAGAAUAUCUAAUUUAAAUUAUUAAUAAUAUUUUGCCUAAUCUUUUAAUCAAGAAAAUAAUUAAAAAAAACAAAAAUUCCUUUAAUAUCUACAAAAUUAUCAGCAAAUGUCCUUAAGUAUAAAUGCAAUUUUUAAAUUUUAUUAUCAUACAUUCGGUAAUUGAUGUAUUUUUUCUUACUUUUAGAUUAUAAAAAAAUAGUUUGAAAAAUGAUAUUCAAAUGUAAUAAACAUGGAACAUGGAUAAUUAACAAGAUUUCUAAAAUUGCCAUCUUGUAUUUUAUUGAUUAACAUAUAAUUUUUUAUUUUCAACUUAUUUUUAAGGAAAAUUACUAAAUAAUGUAUAAAAAUGAUUUAAUUGUUAAAAUAUGGAACAUGUGUUUGAGAAUAAUUCUAAACUAAAUAUCUUACAUUUUGUUCAUAAAUAAAAAUAGCAUAACUUUUAUAAAUUUUUAGAUGAAAAGAUAAACGUGAAUAAUAUGAUAAAACUCUAACAACAUGAACUAUGAAUCAAAAAAUGUUAUUCGUGAUUCUUGAUCUGAGUUGAUGAUAUGUAGGGAGCACAAACUUUUACGUUGGCCAAGGGCUUCUAGUAAGAAGGGAUAGAAAGAGCCCCACAUUAGGUGGUGUCAUGGAACGAUGGACUUAGAAAACACCAUCGGUAUGCAGUUGUUGUGGCAUGGACAAUAAAGGAGACAGGGUCAUCAAGUUGAAGCAACAUUUGGCAGGCAGCUAUAGUGACGUGCAAAAGUAUAGCAAGUGCCUGGGGAGGUGAGAUGAGGCGAUGGAGACUGACCAGAUACAAGCAGGCUCAACAGAAUGCAAAGACAACCAAGGCCAAUGAUUACAAUGAUAGAGAUGAUGAUGACAAUAAGAUUGAGCAAUAUAAUCCAUAUGAUAUGGAGGUUGCUAAGACGCAAGAGGUCUUCUAGGCCUCAAAGUGGGCAUAGUGGGAGUAUGAGGAUCUAUGUGGCAUCAUAAACAAUUUGGAUCUUCACAUUAUGAGGUGUAGAGGGUUCAGUACAUCCAAGGACAGCUCCACACCACGUAGGACCCGAUCAACUAGAGGUUGGAGAGAUCAAAUCCCUAUUUAGUACAUUUCAAAACAGGAAAAGAAAGAAUACUUGUUAGGUCCCACCAUUUAUGAUAUUGAUCUAGUAGCCUACCCAGACCCAACAGCUAAACAGCCUCCGACAGAUGACUACAUCAAGAAAAAUAAGAAGUAUUCGAAACAUGCUGCCAUAGCCAAGUCGUUCCAUGAUAGUCAAAUACAACCUUGGGCUACAACGAACAGUUUCUUCCUGGACAGAUUCUUCCAUGGACGUGAGUUAUUAUUAUUAUUUUUCAAUACUACAUUGUAUUUGCCAUUCUUCACUCAAAUGUUUUAGUUGAUUGAUAACUAAGUGCCCGCACCAAAAUCGACAUUCAAUUAUCAUAUAGCCUUUAAAAACAUCCUUUAAAUAUUAAAAGUACAAAACAAGCUAGCCUAAACAUCUCAUCAUGCAUAAAAACCCAAAAAGUUAAUAAAAAGAAAAAACAAUAAAAAAAAUUGAUUUCUAGCCAUCCCACUAUGGUACCAUACCAAUCUGGCUAGCAAUUGGUAGCAUGCCUGAUAUCGGUUUUUAAAACCUUGGUAGCAAUAAAAUUAAUUUAGUGCAAACAUAUGGCGUAGCAUUUAUCCUCAAGAAUUUGGUUCUACUAUAUGAUUCAAGAUGAGUGUGAGACUCAAAAAAGUUACAAGACUGAAUUAAACCAUGUAUGAGAACACGAUCCGGGACAAAAUAGGCUGUUAGCUUGGCGUGUAUAAAGAACCAAAUUAUAUCAACCCAGCAACCAAAAAAAGAUCUACCAUACACCAGUAGUGAAUAGGAGAAUCAAGAAAUGCAUGUUGGAUGAAGGGGCGCAUCAAAAUACGUUGAGAUAAAAAAGAUAGACUACAGGGGAUAGAAUUCGAUGAAGAUAUCUUAAGGGAGGUAGAAAAUUGGCAUUAAAUGUUAUCCUUACAAAACAAGUUUAUUAAAGGACAAAAUUAUAGGGUUGCUCCAAGACAUUCAUGGGCAUUCACUUUUUGCCAAUGCAUCUCAAGCAAGUAGAGUUAAAAAAUAUCCAUAGAUAUUGUCUAAUCUUGAUUGGGAAAGUUCUAAUUUUCACUGCAAGUGCCAGAGUUAAAGCUCUAAGAGAUAACAAGCACUUAACCAAGAGUAUGGUAUGCUGUACCGGUCGGUACCGGACAUACUGUAUCGGUAUCGGUGGGUACUAAUACCGGUACGGCAGUGUCGGUAUGCCUAACGUACCGCAUACCGUACUAUACCGACACUCAGUACGCCUAUCUAGUAUGGCAUCAGUACGGGGUCCGGUACCGGUACGGUGAACCUUGACCAAUAGUCUUUUAUCGGUGUAAGUCACCAUACUAUCCAGCUAAACAACAGCAAGCAAUUUGUUGUAGAUUCCUUUGAACUUGUUUUGCAUGCUCCCUCUAAUUUCUUCAUUUAUUGCCUCCCAUGUGCCACUACAUAACAAUAAGAUAUCAUAUGGUGCGUGACAAUCGCAUGCCAAGAGACCAAAUCAAACUACAGGGAUUCCAAUUGUAGUUACAAGGCAAAUUCUCACUCAAGAAGUACUUUCCGAGGAAACCGAAUCAGGAAACCAAUGCAAUUCUUUUGGGAAACUUGCCCAAAAACCUGAGUUUGGAAAGAAAAGAAACUUCUACAAUUGGGUUCCCAAUGGAUAAGCUAUAAAGAAAAGGAUAAAUCUAAGUCAAAGAUAUUCCUUGAUAUUUUGAUAAAUCCAUUGUGAUAAAUCACUGAUUUAUUUGUUUUGAGGAAAACAAAAAUAUGC
rnacentral:lncRNA from 1 species